rnacentral:rRNA from 1 species
AGAGUUUGAUCCUGGCUCAGGAUGAACGCUAGCUACAGGCUUAACACAUGCAAGUCGCAGGGUAACGUGAGGGAAGCUUGCUUCCCUUGACGACGACUGGCGCACGGGUGAGUAACGCGUAUCCAACCUUCCCAUGACCACGGGAUAACCCGUUGAAAGACGGACUAAUACCGUAUGACGUCGUUUGCUGACAUCAAAUAACGAUUAAAGGUUUGGCGGUGAUGGAUGGGGAUGCGUCUGAUUAGCUUGUUGGCGGGGUAACGGCCCACCAAGGCGACGAUCAGUAGGGGUUCUGAGAGGAAGGUCCCCCACAUUGGAACUGAGACACGGUCCAAACUCCUACGGGAGGCAGCAGUGAGGAAUAUUGGUCAAUGGGCGAGAGCCUGAACCAGCCAAGUAGCGUGCAGGAUGACGGCCCUAUGGGUUGUAAACUGCUUUUAUGCGGGGAUAAAGUGCGCGACGUGUCGUGCAUUGCAGGUACCGCAUGAAUAAGGACCGGCUAAUUCCGUGCCAGCAGCCGCGGUAAUACGGAAGGUCCGGGCGUUAUCCGGAUUUAUUGGGUUUAAAGGGAGCGUAGGCCGCCAGGUAAGCGUGUUGUGAAAUGUACCGGCUCAACCGGUGAAUUGCAGCGCGAACUGUCUGGCUUGAGUGCACGGUAAGCAGGCGGAAUUCAUGGUGUAGCGGUGAAAUGCUUAGAUAUCAUGAAGAACUCCGAUUGCGAAGGCAGCUUGCUGCAGUGCGACUGACGCUGAUGCUCGAAGGUGCGGGUAUCAAACAGGAUUAGAUACCCUGGUAGUCCGCACGGUAAACGAUGGAUGCCCGCUGUCCGCCCUUUUGUGGCGGGUGGCCAAGCGAAAGCGUUAAGCAUCCCACCUGGGGAGUACGCCGGCAACGGUGAAACUCAAAGGAAUUGACGGGGGCCCG